rnacentral:rRNA from 1 species
AACGGCCAUACCAUGCUGAAUAUACCGGUUUUCGUAAGAUCACCGAAGUCAAGCAUCAUCGGGCGUGGCCAGUACUUGGGUGGGUGACCACCUGGGAACACCGCGUGCCGUU